CAUGGAAUUGUGGGAGAGCAAACCUCCCAAACUGAUCCCUGCUCUGCACAGCAAGUGCGUUCCAGAAAGAUCCGUGCUCCAAAAGGGACAGGGCAGGAAGUUCAGCUCGCUGGGGAAAAUCAGGACCGGGUCAGGAGCUCAUCCCGACUUCACAGAUGGAUCCCCGGGAUCUGCUGCACGGCCCGGGAAAGGCGGGGCUGGAACCGAGAUCCACAGACAAGGGACCUUUAUCAGCUUUCGACUUCAUCUCCGCCCCAGAAAAGCUGCACCCGGCCCAGUCCUGCCAGAGGAAGCUUCCAGAAGGUCUUCAUCUGGGGACUUGGAGCUUCCAGUGGCUGCACUCUCAUCCCAGCUGGAACUUUGUCCCCAGGCCUGCUUAUCUCCAGCCUGACAUUCUUUGGCUGCAGCUUCCCCCGUGGAUGUCAGCGCCCUCCUGCCUGCAGGACUGAGGGAUCCACUCCAAUCUCUCCUCUGGCAGAGGAGGAUCCCUCAUUCCCAGAGACCCCGAGGCAGGAGCGCUGAGUUUCCUGGGAAGCCGUGUGUUCCUAAGGAUCUGUCCCGGCCUGGAAUCCCCCAUGGAUUUAGGAAGCACCCAGGCGCCGGGAAUUGAAUCCAGCGCCGGGAGCGAGGCGGCUGAGAGGAGCAGCUGAGGGGACAUCAGCAUCUUCCUCAGGAGCUGGGAUGUGCCUGAGCUUUCCGGUCUCCACGAGGUGCUGGAGCAGGAUCUGCAAAGGGACAAACAGCCUGGGAGAGGACACCGGUCUCCAUGGACAAGCGGAGUCACUCAGUGCGGGGAGCAGAGCUCGGGAAGGGAAAAGGUUUUCCCUUGUGCCGGGAGGAAACGGGAAUGGCACCAAAUGGCAUCGCUCUUCUCCCUCUUCCCACUGCCAUUGAGAUCUAAUAAAGUGAGAAACGCCUCCAGCUGCCCUCCCUUCC